CGGGAGGCAGCAGUGGGGAAUAUUGCACAAUGGGCGCAAGCCUGAUGCAGCCAUGCCGCGUGUAUGAAGAAGGCCUUCGGGUUGUAAAGUACUUUCAGCGGGGAGGAAGGUGUUGUGGUUAAUAACCGCAGCAAUUGACGUUACCCGCAGAAGAAGCACCGGCUAACUCCGUGCCAGCAGCCGCGGUAAUACGGAAGGUGCAAGCGUUAAUCGGAAUUACUGGGCGUAAAGCGCACGCAGGCGGUCUGUCAAGUC
rnacentral:rRNA from 1 species